AUUUGAGAGCCCAUAGUCCUUUUUUAAAAUAAAAUUUCUUAAGUCAUAUUUUCUUAAAUCAUAUUAUCUCAAAUCAUACAUGAAUAAACCGCUAAGAGACUAUAUAGAGUUUAUAGUUUAUAAUUAAACAUUUAACAAUAGAGUAAUCAUGAAAUUAUUCUUUUUAUGAUAAAAUACAAAUUUCAUAAAUAUGGAGUUCAUAGUUUAUAAAUAGUGCCUAACGGUAAAAUAAUCAUGGAACCAUUAUUUCGCAAUAAAUCAUAAGCUUCAUAUUAUCGUAUGCUCAAUCCUUCAUUUGAAGAAAACAUGAUAUCUUUGUUGGGAAUUGUGUCCCAAAGCCAAUUUUUAAUUGUAAGAAAUUGGAUUAUGUAUAUAUAUUUUAUUAAAAUAAAUAAAAAUUUAUUCUGGUAAUUUUCUAUUCAUCACAAGUGUUGCAUCUUCAAAUUGAACUCCUGUGUAUUGUGAUGAAGUCCUUAGGACUAAUUUAGUGGAUAAAAGAGGUUUUAUCAUUUAGUCCUUAAACCAGUUCGCGACCAAAUGACAAGCUGUCAAUUGGACGAUAGCUAUGUCAAGUAUAGGUCGUUGUGUGCUAUUUAGUUGGUUGUCCUCUUAAACCAAGGAGUGUGGAGACACUGUAUG
rnacentral:lncRNA from 1 species